rnacentral:lncRNA from 1 species
GCUAAAAGCCGAACCACGUAAUUUCUGGUGUUCAUUUUUUGUGUUUGUUCUUUAUUUUCUUCCAAUUUCAUUUUAGUUGCAUGUCUGCUUCACCCACCAAUUUCUCAACAUCAACACCUCCGAUUCUUUAAUUAAUUAAAUGUAUUUUUUUAAAAUUAUUCUUAUUUUAUAAUGAGGAUAAUUAUGCUGUGAGAUAAGUGGUGCGGUUAUUCACCAAAUCUCCUAAAUCAUGUGUGGUGCUUGGACACACCGCUUGCAAAUUUGCUUCAUCAGUACAACUUUUUACAACACAAAUAAGCAUGUGGAGCUAACGCAUGCAAACCGCUUGCAUUGAUUGGCCAUUUAUUUGUGUUAGGAAAGUGGCUUGAGAAACCAGCAUUUCUACAGAACAAAUCAGCUAUGGCUAAGAGCAAAUCAGCUUCAAUUUAGCUCUCGUAAAUGAUGUGGCAAGAAUUACUUGCUUAGCCAAAUCAAUAAACCGCGCGACUGUUCUGUCUGUAAUAGAACGUUUGAAAUCAAUUCAAAAUUCUCUCUUUAGUUUUAUACAUCCAGCUCCCUUACACAUUACAUUAUUUACUUCAAUUAUCAAAUUACUUCCUGUCAAUACCACAACAAAUUAAUAUUUCUAUUUAUAUCUUUCCCCCUCUCGUUAGCUCUCUGUCUCAAGCAUCAUCAUCAGUACCACCACUUAUAGAAUAUAAUGAAUUUUUGUUGUUAGGUUUU